rnacentral:rRNA from 1 species
AGGGGUAUUUUGCACAAUGGGGGAAACCCUGAUGCAGCGACGCCGCGUGAUUUAGAAGGCCUUCGGGUUGUAAAAAUCUUUUUUACGGGAUGAAAAUGACAGUACCGUAAGAAUAAGGUCCGGCUAAAUACGUGCCAGCAGCCGCGGUAAUACGUAUGGACCGAGCGUUGUCCGGAAUCAUUGGGCGUAAAGGGUACGUAGGCGGCCUAGUAAGUUAGAAGUGAAAUAAUAUAGCUCAACUAUAUAAAGCUUUUAAAACUGCUAGGCUUGAGAGAUGGAAGGGAAAGUGGAAUUCCUAGUGUAGCGGUGAAAUGCGCAGAUAUUAGGAAGAGUACCGGUGGCGAAGGCGACUUUCUGGUCAUCAUCUGACGCUGAGGUACGAAAGCGUGGGUAGCAAACAGG